UUCGAAGCAACGCGAAGAACCUUACCUAAGCUUGACAUCCCAAUGACAUCUCCUUAAUCGGAGAGUUCCCUUCGGGGACAUUGGUGACAGGUGGUGCAUGGUUGUCGUCAGCUCGUGUCGUGAGAUGUUGGGUUAAGUCCCGCAACGAGCGCAACCCUUGUCUUUAGUUGCCAUCAUUAAGUUGGGCACGCUAGAGAGACUGCCAGGGAUAACCUGGAGGAAGGUGGGGAUGACGUCAAAUCAUCAUGCCCCUUAUGCUUAGGGCUACACACGUGCUACAAUGGGUAGUACAGAGGGUUGCCAAGCCGUAAGG
rnacentral:rRNA from 1 species